UAUAUUAGAUUCAGUCAUUAGACACAGACUGAUAUAUUUCAAAUGCUUAUUUAUUUUAAUUUUGAUGAUUAUAACUGACUAAAAUCUCAUUCAGUAUCUCAGAUAAUUAGAAUAACAAUUCAGACCAAUGAAAAAAGGAAUUUUAGAAAUGUUGGACAACUGAAAAGUAGAAAAAGAACAAAAGAUCUUUUCUAUAGCGGCUCAAGAUAAAAAUCUCAAGGCGCUCCACAAAAACAAAAAAAUGUAAAAUAUAAAAAAGAAUUUAGAAAAUGAUUUAGAACACAUUUAAAAUGAGCAAAAAAUAGACAAUUGUAAUUAAAAAUGUAAAGAAAGAGAGUGAAUAUGAAAAAGGGAAAUCAGUGGAUCCUGAGGAAGGUGAAAUAGGUGGGGAGUGCAAAACAAAGAGAGGGUGAUGAAGGUCACACCAAAACCAGCUUGAACAAGUAAGUUUUCAGCUGCGUUUUAAAGGAGACCACUGAUCUCAGGCUCAGGGGGAGAAUCUACGAAUCUUAGACUGCAGUAAAGCAGCGAAGCCUCUAGCAGUUUACAAGUUUUGCUACAAAGCCAGCCAGCCCCACCAAUAUCGCAAAUUUCCCCAUUCAACCAGUGAAAUAAAGUACAGAAAUAUAAUUUUACUUACUGAUAAAAAAGGAGCAGAAACUGCUUGGAUGAUCUGUUAGUGCAAUCAAUAACCACAGCUUGCCCUCUUAGACCAAAUAAGUUCAUGAUUUACAUCCAAAGCAUUUGUCUUUGAUAGUUCUCCACUCCUUACGCACUCAGAACUCUGUUUUUUAUCAGUACAGCAUCUCAAGUCCUCAUCUGCUAUUCCACAAAUUCACUCCACAGACCGCUGUGCACAUUUGCGUCAUUGUCAUUACUGUUUUCUAAAAUCUGUUUUACCCUUAACUUGCAAAUCAGUGAUGUCAAUUACUUUAAUCUGAUCACUUUUCUCAGUAACCAGUAAUCUAACGCUUUAAAAUUUUAUUUUUAAGUAUCAGAUGAAUGUUACUUUUACUACUUGCUUUGCAUCACUUUUGUCACUGUUUUCCAAAUGAAAAUGUAUCCAUUUAUAUGUUAGGUUAAGAUGUAAUAUCAGAGUUACUUUGCUAAGUAUACCUUUCAGUAAUUAGUGCCAAUGGUAGCUGGUGAAAAAGAAUCUUGAUGGGACUUUAAGUGAUAUGUUUGUUUUACUCAUUCUAUUACAAGUAUUCAAAGGAAUAGUUGGAAAUUUUCUUAACCCUUGCCGUUCCUUUUAAUUUUCUAACGUUAAUGUUCUUUGGGCACAAAAAAUGCACUUACAAAGCUUCCCAUAGAAAUAUAUAAUAUUUCAUAAGUCCCAAUUUUUUACAUUAAUUUCAUCCUUGACUUCAGCCCUAACAAAAUAUAAUAAAAUAUGUGUGUUUCUCAUAUUUAACCCCUUUAUUGCCAGGUUUAUUAUCAAAACCAGAAGUUUGAAAAUUGUAACAAAAAAAAAAGAAAAAAUCAAAUAAUUUUUUGUGUGUCAUGUCCAAAUGACAUUUUUUGUGGGUAAAUUGUCACAGCCUUGGAGUGUCACAAAUAGGCAUAAAAAGAGAGGUUGCUUAGCUCACUCCAUGCAUGCAAGGCUGCGCUUUGGUGUGUGCAACUCACUGCGGUUGGAGGAGGAGAACAACCAGUUUCUCAUCUGCAGCAGCUGUGGGGGGCUGAGCAAUAUGUUACUGUAAUAAUAACUCAACUCUGUAAUAAUUUAGUCUGUUUUUGCACCUGUGUAAACUGACACCAACUAUGUAAACAAACUGGGCUCUGCAGGAAUUUGUUUUGCUAAACAAAUGUACGCCUUUGAAGUUUUUUAGCCUUCAACCUUAACUUUCAUCCAUGCAAAUACUUUGUAUUUGUUGAAAUAACAAUUCUACAAAUAUCUGAAAAUUUGCUGAAAAUCCUUUGUUUUUUUUACAUAUAGCAUGCCUUUCAUGAAUAUUCAUGAGUUCAACAGAGUACAUGACAACCUGCCCCCCACCCCCAUUUCAACCACUCAAGAUAACAGUCACAGAUAUGUCUCUUGAAGAUCUGUAAAGUGCUUUGAUACCUACAUGCAUGCAUGCCUGCACAAGCACACACAGAGUGACACAUGUCAAAAUGCUAUUUUGCAGAAUGAGAAAAUUUAGUAGAUUCAGUAAAGACUUAUUUUUUGAAGUUACACUGUAAAAGCAUAAUUACCAAAAAUUUUGAACACACACAUGCAAACUUUUGUAUGGCAUCUCUAAACAACACACACACACACCAUUUUUUUGCAGAAUAUGUAUUAUGAUGGGCAGUCAGAGGUAAAGAAAAAUCAUUUAAUUUAAAUGCUGUGUCAGUCAUUGCCCUGCUAUGUAUGGAGAAAGUAUACACCAUCUAGUGGAAAACGGUAAAAACUGCAUAUUAAAUUUGUGAGAGGCCUGUGAACACAGAAACAAUAAUACUUUUUUAAAAUUAUGCUAAUAUUUAUGCUAAUUAGAAAAAUAUGAUUUACAUGAAAGUCAAUGGCACAAAAAAUGCUGAAAGAUGUUUAACUGUACAAAAUUUUCCAUGUCAUAAUAAAGGGAGUUGAAUUUUUUUUCAAACUUUUUUUGUAAUUCCUUCCAAAAUACACAGACUCCAUAAAAAUUAGAUAAAUUGCAUUAACAUAGCCAAAGUUAAUCACAAAAAUACACGUGACAGCACCAAAAAAUGCUUUAAUGCAAUGUAAGGGUUAAAUUCCCAAACAAUCAUCCAGUUAAAGCAAUUCACCAGACACAAACCAAUUAUAGCCAUCUAAUGACUUGUAUGCAUUUGUAACCGGGUUAAAUUUGUUUCUUUUUAUAAAACUACAAACAUAUGUUCUGUAAUAGUAGUGGGCAGUCUUUAAUGUGUAUACUGAGCUCGUCAGGUAUGUAAAAUGUAUAAAAGUUAUUUAUUUAUAAACUCCUCCUAAAAUCUGCCCAUUAUUUCCUCUCCCAGUAAAACUCACUGCUGAGUAGAAACGAAAGCUCCGCCCCCACCAUGGCGGUUUGAUAAAAGGCGUUUGUACAUGUUCAGAACUGUAUUUUUUAGACUCCAACAAACAUUUUCAACAACACAACUUAAUACUAGACAACAUGAUCAUUUUGUUCCUUAGCAUUUAUUUGAACUGUUUUCAGCUUUCAGUUUGUUCUUUCAGCAACCAGGUCUAUCAGACUCCAUCUAUGAUCUACAGAGCAUCAGGAGAAUCAGCCAACAUCUUCUGUUCUCACAACAUCAUAAGCCACAACCAAAUCCUCUGGUUCAAGCAGGCAGGCAAACAGCUGAUCUACCUAGGAUAUGUCUACUACGGAGACACUUUUCCAGAGGCUGGAAUGGAUGUGACGAUGGGUGGGAAUGCAGACAGAAAUCAGAACUGCACAUUAACAGUUGAAAGGCUCAACAUGAGCAGCAGUGCAGUUUAUCUCUGUGCUGCUCGCUACCACAGCGCCACAAGCAACGAACGGUUGGUACAAAAUUGUCAUCCUGUUACCUCUGCUCUCAGCCCCUCACACCAGGAACACCCCUCUUAUUUUGUUUAGGCUUUAGGGACACAAAUCCUCUAAUUAGCCAAUCACUGAAGAGUUUUGAAUGGACACCCACCUACUGAGCGAGUUCCGGUCUAGUAUAAAAGUGUUGGAGGAUCGUCAUUCAUCUCCCGUUUCUCUUCACACAACCAUUUUACCAAGGAAUGAGCUUAAGUGUAAAGGUUUUAGGUGUCAAUUUGCUAGCUAUAUACUAAUUUAGAAUGGAUUUACUGACUAUUUCAUUUGUGUCAUGGCGACCUGGGUGCAUGCCUUCGUUCCUGGCUUAAAUAACACAUUCUAAUUACAAACCGUAU